GACCAUGUGGCCUAAUGGAUAAGGCAUCUGACUUCGGUUCAGAAGACUGUGGGUUCUAAUCAGUUUGUGGUUG